CAGCCGCCGCGGGAAUACAGAGGGUGCAAGCGUUAAUCGGAUUUACUGGGCGUAAAGGGCGCGUAGGUGGUUAUUUAAGUGAGAUGUGAAAUCCCCGGGCUUAGCCUGGGAACUGCAUCUUAUACUGGGUAACUGGAGUGCAGUAGAGGGUAGUGGAAUUUCCGGUGUAGCGGUGAAAUGCGUAGAUAUCGGUAGGAACACCAGUGGCGAAGGCGGCUACCUGGACUGAGACUGACACUGAGGCGCGAGAGCGUGGGGAGCAAACAGGAUUAGAUACCCCGGUAGUCCCUGUCUCUUAUAA
rnacentral:rRNA from 1 species